GGGGAGGCUGAGCCCCUUAGAUUUGCAUUCCUAACACUCUGCAUCCUAUUGUUGGGCUGAAGGAAAAAUCAGCUGUGAAUCAGACAAGCAUGCCAAUUUUUAAGAUGAACAAAAAACCCAUCAGCACAUUUUCUAGAAGAAAUUCUUCAUAAGUCUAUUGCCUGUAGAAAAUGGAUGGCACUGGAAAAACAUUGGUCAAAUAGUCAGCAUGACUCCCUUGUUAAGAUUUUGGAGGAACCAUGAAACCCCCUGCUGCCCAGUGAAGGGAUCGCAACUAUAACAAUCUGCACCUGCAUUCAUUUCUGCCAAGUCCAAGCUCACACAACUGUGGAACUUUGCUCAAGGCAUCCAGGAAAAUAGAUUUCUACAUGUCACAUGUCCUCACCAUCUGGGUUAUGCUCACAGCCUCCCCGGAACCAGGAAUAAAAGCCGGCUAUAGUAGUACUCAAUCUAAUUAGCACU
rnacentral:lncRNA from 1 species